CCCCACCCCCAGCCCAGGCUGCGGUCUCUGGUCCUUUGUAGUCUCCAGCUGAGGAAGGGGAAGAUGAGGAAGUGACUGGUCACCCCUGAAGCUCUCACACUGAGCACCGAGAGCUCCAGGAAAGCAGGGCCCUUACCCUCCUGUGAUCUGACCCCAAGCCGAUGUGGUUUGCAUCUGGGAAACUCAAUCCCCAGUCAGCCUCUUGGGAGUGGACAUGGGACCUGUUGUGUUGACGCUGCUAAUGUAUAUGGAUGUUUUGCCUAUAUGUAUGCCUAUGCACCAUGUAUAUGCAGUGCCUGCAGAGGCCAGAAGAGGGCACCAGAUCCCCUGGAACUGGAGUGACAGACUGUUGGCUGCCACGUGGGAGCUGGGAAUAGAACUCAGGUCCUUUGGCAGAGCAGCAGGUGCUCUUAAUAGCUGAAUCAUCUCUCCAGCCACCAAUUUCAUUUAAUAUUUGAGAGGGAUUUUUGUUGUAUUGCUGUGGCUAGCCUGGAACUCCUGGUCUCCACAGCUUAGAUUACAC
rnacentral:lncRNA from 1 species